AAUAAUACCCCGGUAGUCCACGCCGUAAACGAUGGAUGCUAGCUGUUAUGCGUAUCGACCCGUGUAGUAGCGAAGCUAACGCGUUAAGCAUCCCGCCUGGGGAGUACGAACGCAAGUUUAAAACUCAAAGGAAUUGACGGGGACCCGCACAAGCGGUGGAGCGUGUUCUUUAAUUCGAGGCUAAGCGAAGAACCUUACCAGGGCUUGACAUCCUUGGAAUUUCUCCGAAAGGAGAGAGUACUUUAUUGGACCAAGUGACAGGUGCUGCAUGGCCGUCGUCAGCUCGUGUCGUGAGAUGUUUGGUUAAGUCCAUUAACGAGCGCAACCCUUAUGAAUAGUUGUAUUUUUCUAUUCAGACUGCCCCGGUAACGGGGAGGAAGGGGGGGAUGAUGUCAGGUCAGUAUUGCCCUUACGCCCUGGGCUAGAAACGCGCUACAAUGGCCGGUACAAUGCGCUGCCAACCCGCGAGGGGGAGCAAAUCGCAUCAAAGCCGGUCCCAGUUCGGAUAAGAGGCUGAAACUCGCCUCUUUGAAGCCGGAAUCGCUAGUAAUCGUAGGUC
rnacentral:rRNA from 1 species